CGAGCGAACGUUGUUCGGAAUCACUGGGCUUAAAGGGCGCGUAGGCGGCUUGCCAAGUCAGGGGUGAAAUUUUGCGGCUUAACCGUAACAGUGCCUUUGAUACUGGCAGGCUAGAGGGAGACAGGGGUCCGCGGAACUUCUGGUGGAGCGGUGAAAUGCGUUGAUAUCAGAAGGAACGCCGGUGGCGAAAGCGGCGGACUGGAUCUUUUCUGACGCUGAGGCGCGAAAGCUAGGGGAGCAAACGGG
rnacentral:rRNA from 1 species